rnacentral:sRNA from 1 species
AAUGUUUCAUCUGUGGUAUUGGUAAAGAGUACUUUGACAAAGUUCCUCACGGCUUUGAAAUCCAUGUGAAGAAUGAGCACAACUUUGCCAAUUACAUGUUUUUCAUUAUGCAUCUGAUAAACAAACCAGAUACAGAGUACACUGGACAAGAAACGUAUGUUUAUGAAAUGUACCAGCAGCGCUGCUGGGAUUUCUUCCCUGUUGGUGAAUGUUUUCGUAAACAAUAUGAAGAUGAAGACUCAAGAUGAUAACUUGUUAUUAAAAUUUGUUUCCUCUUAAUGUAAUGACAUUUGAAAUGUGAAAUUCUCUUGGAAAACAUAAAAAACAAUUUUUAACAAAUGUGAUGGAUUUAUUUCACAUACUUAAGUUAGUAGUAAUCCUUUGACCUGCUGCUGUCCCUCGCAGCAUGGGAGAAAAUAGAUUAUCUUACUCGGGAUAUUGAUGUUAAAGAGUUUACCAGUUGGACAUUGUUUAGAUGCAUUCUGGAACCUACUGUUUAGAUGCAUUCUGGAACCUGCUAUCCUGUCCCUCACUCUGCCAAUGUAUCACCCUUACACAAUUUAUCCUGGCUCUUUUUUGUCCCUGUUUUUGUUUGCUGGUGAUGAAAUAAACCAUUUGCUGAUAUUUAAAAACAAAAAAUAUAACCAAAUUGUUUGUGUACAUAUAUUGUCAGAUACACCUGAUGAAAUUCAAAUAUAGUGUUAAUAUGAAUUGUCUUUUUU